GACGAACGCUGGCGGCGUGCUUAACACAUGCAAGUCGAACGGAAAGGCCCUGCUUGCAGGGUGCUCGAGUGGCGAACGGGUGAGUAACACGUGGGUGAUCUGCCCCUUACUUUGGGAUAAGCCUGGGAAACUGGGUCUAAUACUGGAUAGGACCAUGCUGUAGGUGGUGUGGUGGAAAGAUUAGUUUCGGUAAGGGAUGAGCUCGCGGCCUAUCAGCUUGUUGGUGGGGUAAUGGCCUACCAAGGCGUCGACGGGUAGCCGGCCUGAGAGGGUGGACGGCCACAUUGGGACUACGUUACGGCCCAGACGCCAACGGGAGGCAGCAGAGGGAAAUAUUGCACAAUGGGCCCAAGCCUGAUACGGCGACGCCGCGUGGGGAAUAACGGCCUUCGGGUUGUAAACUCCUUUCAGCCGUGACGAGGCCUUCGGGUAGCGGUAGUGGUAGAAGAAGCACCGGCUACUACGUG
rnacentral:rRNA from 1 species